rnacentral:lncRNA from 1 species
AUAAAUCUUGCAGGGCAGAGAGAAACAAACAGGGUUGUUCUGAAUAAUAAUAAUAACCAUCUUCCAUCUCUUCUGCCAGUGCAUUUAAAAUUAAGCGACCCUGCUAGUUCUUCUCUUCUUAGAAGUACAAAUGUCCUUAUCACCUCUUAGCCCCUUCUGCCUAUUCGGAGGAGGGGAGAUUUGUCGCCUGCCGCUCGCUCUGGGGCUCGAUGUGAAUAUAUAUUAUGUCUGCCUGUUCUCCCCUCGUCGGUGGCUAAGGUAAGCUGGACUGAAAUAGGCUAUCAGUUUGUGAAUGGCGGAGAGUAUGUCUCAAUGAUUUAUGGCCCAUAUGACUCCAAUCUCGGUUCAAGAAGAGUUCACAAGCUUUAAGCUUCCUUCCACGCAGCGACUCUCUCUCU